rnacentral:rRNA from 1 species
GCCUGAUGGAGCAACGCCGCGUGUGUGAUGAAGGGUUUCGGCUCGUAAAACACUGUUGUAAGAGAAGAAUGACAUUGAGAGUAACUGUUCAAUGUGUGACGGUAUCUUACCAGAAAGGGACGGCUAAAUACGUGCCAGCAGCCGCGGUAAUUGA